GUCAACAACCCACCACUGACUUGAGUACAAGUACAGUGGGGGCUUGAAAUACAGCCCUAGUUGACCAGCCUAAGUCUUAACUGACUCCGUUAUUUAGGUGACGACACCGGAGGAUGCGUAGCUAGUCUUCCGCUCUGUCGCUGAGUAUUAAACAACCAUUUGGGAGGCAGUGUACUCAGCCUAACAAGCCUUGAUAACAUUGGCGAAGCUAACAUUAC
rfam:Planktothrix serta PCC 8927 isolate BBR_PRJEB10992 genome assembly, scaffold: BBR_A_PL8927_scaffold59